AAUUUUAGCAAAGCUUUAUUGAAAAUAUAAGGCUAGUGUAAGGUUUUGAUAAGGGCGAGCAUCACACGGCAUUCAAACUGCAAGGCAUGAAACAAUCAUUCUUCAAACAGUAUAGAACAAAAUCAUCCAAAAUGGAACAGCCUUCAACAAUCAUUCAAAACCACAAAGCGUCAUCAUGCACUCCUUCAGACAGCAGGCCGGCAGGUGUGCCCAACAAGUAGGCUUGCAGGUGUGUCCAACAUGGAGGCCUGCAUGUGUGCCAGGAACAUCUUGUGUGAGGGUGGUUCCUGACCACCAGCAAAAAGUCACAGUACAACUGCACUCUGGGAUGAAAUGCUAUUGACAUACAUUUGAAAGUUUACUCAGACCAACACAUUUAGCAAGCCAGAACAUGAUAUGGAGACUGGACAUAAAUGGUUUGAUUGGAUGAGUAUAGAUCUAGUAAUACAUAAAGAGAAGUUUGAUUAAUGAAUGAUUACAAAAUACAUGAAAUAAAUACUAUUAUGAAAGGCAACACAAAUCUACUCUCUAGUUGAAAGAAUUGAAGUUAAUUAUCUCUGAUCAAUCAUACCUUUCAUUGAAAACAAUCACUUGAAGUUCAGACUUAAUAAAAGACAACAAAUCUUGAGUUAAAAUGCCUAAUAAAUGCUAAGCAUGGCCUAAUAGAUGUGCCAAAUGUAAAUUAAAAAUAUCAAAUAAACUAAAUGGCUAAACCAAAUAGAAAUCAAUGAAAAGAAAGGUAAAGUCUAUAGCUAAAUAAAUAAAUCAAAGGAUACAAUAAUACUCGCUCCCCACCAGUAGCCAGCACACCAGUUGAAUGUGUAUUUUCAAUGUUUCCAUUAAACUAUUAUAACAUAUACACAAGUAUUGUAUGGUACAUUGUAAUUAAGACAGAGAAAAGAGUCAACUAUAUACAAGAGUUGAUACAGACACAAGUUUUGAGCUUGAAGUACACCAGAUUCAUUUUCUUGCAGCAUAAAAUAUUACUUGAAAAAAAAAAAAAUGCAUAUUUUGAGUGUGAACAAUUAAAAAAAAAAAUCACUCUUUAAAUUUGUGUGUUGUUAGGAAGUGCAGUUUAUAUUAAGUUUUGAACAAGAAACAACAGAAUAUGAAAGAAUGUUAAAGAAAAUAGCCUUUAUAAAAUUUACUUUUCAACAGUGUCAAAAUCUCAAUCUGUUCAAUGUUCAUGGACAUAGAUCAAAUAAACAAAAAGAUCAGUUUCAAAGUAUUUGACAAGACAUGACCCAAAUGUAGAAACCUAUCCCAAGCUAAACACAAACUAAAUAGACAGACUGGUGAAGACAAAUGGGCUACAACAUGUAUCAGACUUUUUUGUUUUGUUUAUGAUGUGUCAGAUAGCCACUAUUUUGUUUUUAAAUGCCAGUUUCUAAUUGUAUCCAUGUCACAUGGUGGUAUCUUGAAAUAUCAGGUAUGAAAUCUUGAAGCAUUAUUAUUAAUAAUUAAAACUGUGUGUUGAAUAUAUUAACAAUCUAUGAGAAAAAAGUACCAACUAAGAUGUGCAUUAGAAAUAAAUUACAUCAAUCCCCACAAAAAAUGCUUUUUUUUUCUUUAAUUGACAGAUGACAUUUUCUAAAAAAAAAAUAAAAAAAUUUAGUACCUUCUGUGAGACAGGCGGGCAUCACCUACUGUUGACAAGCAUCCUUAAUCAAAGAGAUAAUCUUCUCUUCUAAACUUGUAAGUUUAGAGCACAGCCAAUCAUUUGCUAUUUAAAACCUCAAUAUGGAUUUAGUCCAUUUAUUAGGUGAAGCUGACAUACUAGGCUAGUCUAUCACAUACAAAAAAAAAAAAAAAAAAAC